CGCUCCCUCGAACGCCUCGACAUAAAAUCCGGCCUCCUUUUCUCUCUCCUCUCCUCCCUCUCCCUCCUUUUCCUUCCUUCCUCAGAUCACGAUCUCCGCCCCGCUCCGCCGGCCCCCGAUCCAUGUCGUCCUCGUCGCCGUCGAGGCCGCCGCCGCCAUUCGCACCGCAAAACCCUACCUCAGCACCCCGGCAGCUCGCGGGGCCAUUCUCCAACAUGCAGAUCUCCCACGCGGGCGCGGCGCCCCCGCCCUUCGCCGGCGGCCCUCCCGGGAGCGGCACCGUGCCGCCCUCGGCGAUCCGCGCUCCCCAGGGCCCCCCGCCGCCCCCCUCGCAGCCGCUUCCGCCGUUCGCCCGGCCUGGCGCGCCGUUGCAGCAGCAGCAGUCCCCGCCUCCCUUCGGCGGCCCGCCACCCGCUCUGGCUUCGCACACGCAGCCGCAGGUGCAGCGGCCGGCGUUCCGUGGACCACCGUCCGGCCCGCCGCCGCAGGUGCAGCGGGCGCCCUUCGGUGGGCCGCCCCCGGGAGUAUCGCAGCAACCUCCGCCGUUCGGUGGGCCGCUCUCUGGAGUGUCGCAGCAGCCUCUGCCGUCCGGCGGGCCGCCAGCCGCUGCGGCAUCGCGGCCUGCUCUGUUCAGUGGGCCGCCAGCAGUGGCGUCUCAGCUGCCGCAGCCUGCAGCGGUGCCACAGCGUUCCCCGUUCGGCGGUCCUGUGGCACUGUCAGGUCAACCCCCUUCACUCGUCGGGGGCUCGUUUACCACUGCUCAGGCGCCAUCGUUCGGCGGCCCGCCGGGGUCAGUGCCUCAGACAGCACCCACAGGUGGGCUGCCACCACCCUUUGGAGGGCCACCAGUGACGCAGCAGGUGCAGUUUGGUGCGCCGCCACCGUUUGGCGGACCAAGUGCAGUUCUGCCAGGUUCGCAGCCUCCAGCAUUUGCUGCAUCACAGGCACCACCAUUCAUGGGUCCUACAGGGGGUAAUGCACCAACCUUUGCCCCUCCGGCCUGGCAGGGCCAGGCACGACCAGGAGCUGUUCCUGGUGGUAUGCAACCAUCUAUGAGAAUGCCUGGCAUGCCUGGUGCCAUGCCACCCAAUGCACUUGGCCAAGGGAUGUCACUUGCACCAACACCCACCAUGCCAUACUCCCCCCAUGCCCAGGUCUCAACCCCAUCCAAAAUUGAUCCUCAUCAAAUUCCACGGCCAGUUCCGGAGACAUCAGUCAUCAUCUUUGAGACCCGGCAAGGUGGACAAGCUGCUAUCCCACCGGCUGCCUCCAGUGAAUUCAUUGUGAAGGACACUGGCAAUUGCAACCCCCGUUUGAUGAGAUGCACAAUGAAUCAAAUACCAUGUACAGGCGAUCUCUUGACAACAUCAGGAAUGCCAUUAGCCUUGUUGGUACAGCCUUUUGCUCUUCCUCAUCCAUCUGAGGAACCUAUCCAGCUUGUGGAUUUUGGAGAGAUGGGCCCCAUCAGGUGUUCGCGCUGCAAAGCGUACAUAAAUUCAUUCAUGAGAUUCAUUGACCAAGGGAAACACUUUAUAUGUAACUUAUGUGGAUUUAGCAAUGAUACUCCAAGGGAGUACUUCUGCAACUUGGGCCCUGAUGGUAGGCGACGUGAUGCUGAUGAAAGGCCUGAGUUGUGUAGAGGAUCAGUUGAAUUUGUUGCUACCAAGGAGUUUCUGGUCCGUGACCCAAUGCCUGCUGUCUAUUUCUUUCUUAUUGAUGUCUCCAUGAAUGCUGUGCAUACUGGUGCAACAGCUGCAGCCUGCAGUGCAAUUUCCCAGGCUCUUUCAGACCUUCCUGAAGGCCCUCGAACUAUGGUUGGAAUUGCUACAUUCGAUUCUGCUAUUCACUUCUACAGCCUGAAAUGUGCUCAACAGCAGCCUUUGAUGCUUAUUGUUCCUGAUGUCCAAGAUGUGUACACUCCGCUUCAAACGGACCUCAUUCUUCCAAUCUCAGAGUGCCGUGAGAAUUUGGAGCAACUUUUGGAGAGCAUCCCAAUCAUGUUUGAGAACAACAGGGUUGCUGAUUCGGCAUUUGGUGCUGCAAUGAAGGCAAGUUUUCUAGCUAUGAAGUCCACCGGUGGAAAGUUGCUUGUAUUUCAGUCAGUGCUACCAUCCUUAGGAAUAGGUUCUUUGUCUGCUAGGGAAGCUGAAGGUAGAUCAAAUAUUUCAACUGGAGACAAGGAGGCGCAUAAGCUUCUUCAGCCUGUUGAUAAGACUCUCAAGACAAUGGCACUAGAAUUUGCUGAGUACCAAGUUUGUGUAGAUGUGUUCCUUAGCACGCAAUCAUAUGUAGAUAUUGCUUCAAUAUCAGUUGUUCCCAAUACAACUGGUGGCCGGGUUUACUACUAUUACCCAUUUUCUGCUCUCUCCGAUCCAGCCAAACUGUAUAAUGAUCUUAGAUGGAAUAUUAGUAGACCACAGGGUUUUGAGGCUGUCAUGCGCAUCAGGUGUAGUCAGGGGCUUCAAGUUCAAGAUUACUUUGGCAAUUUCUGCAAGCGUGUUCCUACUGAUAUUGAUCUUCCUGCGGUUGACUCAGACAAAGCUAUAAUGGUUACUUUUAAGCACGAUGACAAAUUGCAGGAAAAUUCAGAAUGUGCUUUCCAGUGCGCACUUCUCUACACGACAAUUUUUGGGCAAAGGAGGAUACGGGUCAUAAACCUUUCCCUUUCAUGCACAAAUAUGCUCAGUAACCUUUUCCGAUAUGCUGAUCUGGAAACACAAUUCACAUAUGUUGUAAAGCAAGGUGAAUUUACUGCUGCAAAAGGCAUUCCAUCGUUACCUCUUUCUCAAGUUAGGGAUCAAGUAACAAGUACAUGUAUCAAUAUCCUCCAGUCAUACCGAAAGUAUUGUGCAUCUGUAAGUAGUUCUGGGCAAUUGAUUCUUCCGGAGGCUCUGAAACUUCUACCAUUGUAUACUCUAGCUUUAACUAAAAGUGUGGGAUUGCGCAAUGAUGGGAGAUUGGAUGAUCGGUCCUAUUGGGCCUCUAUUGUAUCUUCAAUUUCUGUGCUACUAGCUAUUCCGUUGGUGUUUCCUAGGAUGAUUGCCCUCCAUGAUCUUACAUCAAGGGAAGAUGAUGAUUCCCUUAUACCGAGUCCCCUUACACUCAAUAGCGAGAAUAUACAUGAUGAUGGAGUUUAUUUGUUAGAAAAUGGUGAGUAUGGUUUUAUUUAUGUCGGAAAUUCAGUCAACCCUGUGACCCUAGAGCAAAUAUUCGGUGUCUCGUCUUUGGCUGGAGUACCAAAUCAGGUAAUUCCUUCACCUCAUCUCUCUCCAUUUACCUCAUGUAUUUUAAAUUUACUCCAGAUGUGGAUCACAGCUAGAAUUAUUCAUUACACUUGUUUUAAACCUAAAAUGUGGCAUCCCCUAGUAGACCAAUUUCCCCAAGAAACUGAGCAAAUUUUGUACAGCACUUUAGGAAAACCUGUCUUUAGGACACUGAAAAACAAUUCUUGUCUGUACAAAGAGUGCCCUAUGGACAAUUGUUUUAGUGUCCUACUGAAAAAAUCAUGGAAAUGCUGUACGUCCCAGACAAAUUUCUCAAUUGCUGUAAGUUGAUUAAUGAUUUGCUUGUUUCAGUUUGUACUGGAGCCAUUUGAUAAUGAACUCUCCAGGAAAGUAAAUGAAGUGGUGAAUGAAAUAAGGCGUCAGAGAUGCUCUUACUUGAGAUUGAGACUAUGUAAAAAGGGUGACCCAUCUGGAGAUUUCUUCCGAUCACUAUUAGUUGAGGACAAGGCACCAGGCGGACUUUCCUAUGUUGAGUUUCUUGUACAUGUGCACAGGCAGAUCCAAAGCAAGAUGACGUGAAAUGACCGCCACCUCAUUGUUGUAACAUUUUGGUCAGUAGGAAUCCAGAACAAAAUUGAUUUUUGCAUGAGGAUAAAACAGAAAUGAAUGAACCAAGGACUCUCCAAUCAGUGCAACCUAGUUCUCACCUGGUGAGUCGUCGUAGAAUCGACAUGAUUCUGCAAUCACUUACAAGAUCAGUUUUGGUGUAGGCGAUAUAUGUUUCUGUACAGAGAUGAGUGGACUUUCGUGUCUUCAAUUUUGAAAGUAUUUAUUCUUGUUAACAGCGGCUGUAUUUUGUCGAGAGGAAGCUUAUAGUGGUUGGGCAAUAAUGUUGUAUGUUUAGCCGUGAGAGUCAUUUGGUUGUAAAUGAACAGAAGUAAUGAUUCGCAAAGUGACAUGUUGUGAAUAUCAUGGUUAACAUUCUUUUUGGCCACAUCGGCACACGUCA